GGGCCCUGGAGGGUCAGAGGUGAGUUACUUAGGUUUGCUGUGUUUUGAUUUUUAUUUCCAACCGAAGAAAUCUCUAAAUAUUAAAUAGGAUGGGAAAAUGAUUUCUUGCAGUAACUGUUUGAAAUGUAUGUAAAUAAAUGUGGAAACUUUUCAGAGAA